UACGUAGGCAGCGAGCGUUGUUCGGAGUUACUGGGCGUAAAGAGUGCGUAGGCGGUUUUCUAAGUCUGGUGUGAAAUCUCCCGGCUUAACUGGGAGGGUGCGCCGAAGACUGGAAGGCUUGAGUAUGGGAGAGGUAAGCGGAAUUCCUGGUGUAGCGGUGAAAUGCGCAGAUAUCAGGAGGAACACCGGUGGCGAAGGCGGGUCUCUGGGCCGUAACUGACGCUGAGGAGCGAAAGCGUGGGGAGCGAACAGG
rnacentral:rRNA from 1 species